ensembl:lncRNA
AUGUCUACUUAGAGAUUGCCUCCUUUGGGAAAUUUCUAGUGAGACCUUGUCUUCAGAAAAGGGUUAAGACACUUCUGAAAUCAGAUGGCUAAACGUGGGAGCAUCUUCCAUACAUUUCCAUAGAAAUCUUGCUACAAAAGCGAAUCUGACUACUGAAAUGCUCUUUGAAAAUGGAUACCUUAAUGCAAAUAAUUGGUAGUGAUAUAAAAAGGGAAUUGAUAGCAUUACAAGAUUGAAGAGAAACAAAUGGAGUUUGGAGGGAAGAAAGAACUGCAGUAGAAGGUUGACUUGAUGAUAUAACCAUCAUUUGAGCAAAAAGCUUGAAUAUUGCGUUGUCAAUGUCUUUGAUUGAAUUAAUGGAUGUAUUAAAUAUGCAGGUGGGACAUUUCAGCAAUAUUUCUUCAGACAUUUCUGGAUCCUUUAAAUCAAAAUUUCAGCACGCUAAUAAAUAUACAGUGCUUAGAGGCAUUUUUGCCUUGAGAUUAAUGGAAUUGCUUUGUAUUACUUAGAAGCAAUAAAGGUAUCAACUCUUUGAACUAAUAAUGUAGGGCAGAGUUGUGGAGCCCAAGAACUCAGACUUCAGUGGGGGUUUCUGUGGUAGAAUCUUAACCACAGAAUCAGAAUCUAAUGGAGCAAUAAAGCAUAUUCAGGGAAGCUAAAAUAACUUGAGGCAACAAAAAUAGAAAUGCACAAAUUACCAGCUAUAAAAAAAAAACAACUAUGAUACUUAUUUUGCCAUCAAUGGCUGUUCUAAUUUUUACUUUUGUGAUUGGCUAUGAUUGUCUACAUCUAUUAUUUUCCAUCUCUGCACUGUGAUUUCUAAAUGUGGCAUUUUAUUGAAAUUCUAAUGGCUUAGAGAAGCACUAAGUUAUUUGAUGUAUAGUGGUGUUGAAUUAUGUGCACAGAUUUAGAAAUGUAGAUUAUACACACAUUUCCUGAAAUAAAAAAAACCCCUACAUUUAUUUUCCUUUUAAAUGCACACAUUACAGACUGUGUUAAUGUUCAUUAUUCCAGUUCUUCUGGGAAAUCUGGAGACUGGAAGAGAGAUCCUUUGAUCAGACCCGAUUAAACCUUUCCUUCAGCUUUGUCUGCCUGAAGAAGAGAAUUCUGAAUGCCUGGAGAGACUGAAGUUCUCUUCAAAAGCUUUUGGAACAUAAUUUGAUUCUCUUAGAGCCGCCUCCAUAAACCUCUACAAAAAUAAGGAAAACUCCAAAGUAUUUGAAAGGUGGUGAAGUUAAACUUUGCUACAGUGGCAGUUGGAUAGAUUUAGGCAAUGUGCAUUUUACACAGAAUUGUUUUUUUUUUAAAAAAAAAAAGGACAGCAUGCACAGUUUGUAUUUAAAGCUAAAAAAAAUCAUUAUUUUGCAAAAGUAAAUGUAACAGUCAAAAUAACAAAGCAAUGUAUAAACUGCAUAUCUAUUCAAUGCAAGAAUUUCAAUAUAAACAGUCAUCUGGCAGAGCUGUAUAACAAAUAGAUUUUUGCAAGAGCGUGGCUGUUUCUUAAAUGUGUGCUUUCUCUAAGUUGCCUGAAUGAUGAUGCUUUUUUCCUCAUAGUACUUUGAUGUAUUCAGAGGCAAUUGCUCCAGGGCAGACGCUGAAUGGACUGGAGUUAGAUGUGAGCAUACCUUUUCGUAUGGUCAUUAUACCUAUGGCACCUCUGAAGAAAGUCAGCAAGAGUGCCUUCUGGGAUUUCUGUAUGUAACAAAUAUAUACAUAGGCAUAUGUUGAAAUAUGUGUAAGUAAAGGGAGCUCAAAACUCCUUUGAAUUACACAUAUAGGCACAUCAUACUUAUUUGAUGUUGCUUCAGCUGUGUAAAGGGAGCUCGGUGGUUACAGUGCUGAAAUCAAAAGAGGUUAAAUUGUCACAGUAUAAGAAGGUGCUGGGCUACAAUCAUUGAAGCGAGUGUAUGAGAUCCUAAUUGUCCACUGUAAUGAAGAAAGCAAUCUUGCUUAAACCACUUUGCUUUGCAGCAGCUUCUGUUUGGUUCCAAAAACUAUGUUGUACAGUCUUAGAGCCAAAAUAAUUAAUUUAAGGAGAUGCAGAACACAAAGAUGGACCUUUUCCAUUUUUUCUGUAUCUAUAACUGACUAUUUUGGAAUGAAAACAGAAGAAAGAAAUAACAAAGAACUGUUUUGCACUGUGCCAUAGGGAGGGGGUUCGAGACAGAGAGAGGGUUCAGAGUUCUGAUUGGAUCUCAGUAGUAAAGGCUAAGAAGUAGAUGUCUUAAUAAAAUAGCUCCUUAGACAGAAUAAGAAGAGAAACACAUACACUGAGUAAAUCUUACAUUUCUUCACGUGCUGGGAACCUUGCAUUCAUGCAGCACUGGAUUGUCCCUGGCUGGAUUUUCCCAAGGCAUACUGGAAGAUGUCUCUGCCUACUGCGGGGUGGCUUGGAGUAGGUGAUUUUUGAAGGUUUCUUCCAACCAAGCCCUUCUAGGAUUCUAGGAUUUUUAUGUUGUGCGGAUCCUAUCCAUGGACAGAAACUUCAAUUUUUAAGUCAUUUGAGAAAUUAAAUAAUCAGUUUAU